rnacentral:piRNA from 1 species
UAAGAGUUAAUGCAAAUGAUCCAGUGAAU